GAGCCACGAUUUUUUUCUUGAACAUAUAUGUUAUAAACUGCCUGCGUGUUUCCUUUUUUUCUGUCCUUUUAGUAUAGGUAAAUGUUGCAUGUAUAAGUAAAGCAUGCUGUGAAUUCACCAUUGCAUGAAUAUAGCCUGGUACACUGGAAAAAAAGCUGUUCUCUUCUGGCUCAAACCACAGAGAGCACUCCCCAGUCUUCAUGGAGGCGCAACUGCGAAGCUAAUCAAAAUCAAUGACUUCUUGGCUGCUGUAAAAAAACAGAGGAGUGCCCGGGAGAGAGGGACUGUGCCGGUUUCCUACCCAUUAGGAAGGAUCGCUGGGAAGUCUGGACUGAGCGUGUUCAUGGAUCUGCAGGGCCAGCAGAGAGC